GACGAACGCUGGCGGCGUGCCUAACACAUGCAAGUCAACUUGACGGAAGGAGCAAUCUGACCGUAGAGUGGCGCAAGGGUGCGUAACGCGUAAGUAACUUGCCCCAAGGUAAGGAAUAACGUCGAGAAAUCGGCGCUAAUACCUCAUAAUGCAGCGGAUCCGCAUGGAUAUGUUGUUAAAAGGUUUACCGCCUUGGGAUAGGCUUGCGUCUGAUUAGCUAGUUGGUGUGGUAACGGCACACCAAGGCUACGAUCAGUAACUGGUCUGAGAGGAUGAUCAGUCACACUGGAACUGAGACACGGUCCAGACUCCUACGGGAGGCAGCAGUGAGGAAUAUUGGGCAAUGCUCGAAAGAGUGACCCAGCAACGCCGCGUGGAGGAUGAAGGUAUUCUAUAUCGUAAACUCCUGUGAGAGCAGACGAAAGACAGAUAUUAAUACUGGAUGACUGUAUGCUCAGAGGAAGCCCCGGCUAACUACGUGCCAG
rnacentral:rRNA from 1 species